rnacentral:rRNA from 1 species
CAUGUCUUAUUGUAUUUAAUAAUAAGUUUGACCUGCCCACUGAAAAUAGUAUGUUUAAAUGGCCGCAGUAUAUUAACUGUGCAAAGGUAGCAUAAUAAUUUGUUUUUUAAUUGGAGACUGGAAUGAAUGGUUGGACGUAAGAACUGCUGUCUCUAUUCUUUUAUAUUGAAUUUUACUUUUAAGUGAAAAGGCUUAAAUUUUAUUAAGGGACGAGAAGACCCCAUCAAGUUUUAUAAGUGUAAGUUUUUAUUUUUUCAUGUAUAAUUUCUUAAUUUAUUUUUCUGGGGCGGAAGAAAUAGUAUAUCUUUUUUUUAAAGUGGGAAUAACUAUUAAGUUUAUUAUUGAGUUUUAAUUAAAAAUAAUAUGAAUAAAUUACUGUGGGGGUAACAGCGUUAUUUCUUUUUAGAGUUCAUAUUAAUAAAGAAGAUUGCGACCUCGAUGUUGGAUUAAUUUUACCUAAUGGUGAAGAAGCUAUUAAGGUGAGUCUGUUCGACUUUUAAUAAAAUUACGUG